AAAUUGGAAACCCUCUUGGACCAGGCGGUAGUCUCUUAUUCUCGGUGCUUAACCAUCGGAGCAGAAAGAUAAGUGCAACAAAGGCUAGAGAAGUCCAAAUCCAAGCCAUGGAUCUGUGAUUCUAUAACUUGCUGUUCUUGAAGUGUAUAAAAUCUCUGCCCUUUUAUUUACUUGGAUAUUGUGACUUGUAUAGGAAUCGAAGCCUGAAAGAAAAACAAACAGGAGAGGUAAGUUCGUUGUUGUUGUUUGUUGUUUUGAUCGAACUUUGACUUGUGUACUUAAGAUCGAUCGUGACAUACUAUAAAAACACAAAAGCAUGAUUUGCUUAAUUCAAGUUAAUUGUGUCAUCACGGAUAUUAUAUGCUUAGUCAUUUUGAUAACGUAGUGAUAUUUUUUAAUUUUUAAAAAAAAUAUCUAAAAAUAAUAUUUUAUUUUUAAAAUUUAUUUUUGACAUUAACACAUUAAAAUAAUAUAUAAAUACCAAAAACUUAAUUUAUAAUUAAAAAAUUAACUUUAAAAAAAUUUGCAACGCAGAACAGUUCUUACUGAAUAAGUUUUAACUAUGAUUUUUUCAAUAAAAAAACAAAGCAAUAAAAAAAUACUUAUAUGAUGUGUGAAAUUGUUUUAAAAUCAUAAAAAAUAAUUAAAAAUAAAAUAAAUAAAAUUUAAAUAUUUAAAUAUUUAAAUAUAUUUUUUUAACAAAAAAAAAAACAAACACGCUAUUAAAUUUGGAUUUCAAACAACAUCGUUACUUAGGAUAGCAUAAAUUAUUCAAUUUUUUCACACGUUAGAGUAGAGAAAAAGGAUUUAAUUCAGUAAUUUCGAGCUGAAAAAAAUAUAAAAGCUAAUUGAUAUUAUCCAACAUUUAAUGCACCGAGAGUUGACCAACAAUUUGAAACGGUGCGCCCCCAUUUUUGUGGAGAAGGAUGGGAUGCCCAGCCAACAAUAAACAGGUUAGGUUGCAUCUCAUGCCUUUCAAAACACACCGUUUAGGAGAGACAAAAGGAGAGUAAUCCAAUGAAAUAUAUGAGAUAUUUGUGAGAGAAGCUCUAGAAUGUUUACUUAGAAGAGAAAUUAUUAAUUGUUUUUUAUUAAUAAAAUAUUAUUGUGAUUUUUAUAUUAUAUAGUAGUAAGCAAAUUAAUCUAAUUUUUAGUCAACCGCGUAAAUUCUUGAAUGUAUUAUUAUUUAUUUUCCUUGUUGUCUUAAAGUUGUGCAUUUUAUUUAGCAUGCCGGCAUUAAAGACUAAAAUUAAGUGCAAACUAGCAAAAGUGCCGUAAGCUUUUGGUAUUCUAGAUUUGUCGGCACAGAUAACCACCAACACCUUUCCAUUUCUUUUUCUUUGUUUAAGUUGAUGUUCAUCUAAUUUAUAUUAUUUGGGCUUCCUGGAUUUUAUUUUUGUCUUCACAUAGCAAACCCAAGACACCCAUGCUCUAACAUGCAAUUAUAGAUGGAUUUGCUAACGGACCGAAAAGUCUAGCAGGAUUUUUGAAUAUUUCGGUGUGAAUAUAAAUUAAUUACCGAUGGAAUUUAACGUUAUCGACAAUAAUAAAUUUUGUUUGUAAUUCCGAUGGAAAAAUUGCUAUAUAAAUCCCCCCCUCUAGGUUCAUUUUUUUAUCUGGCUCUUAAUCUCUAUUUUUCAUCUCCUCUCCAUUUAUAUUAUGUUUUAAUUCAAGAUUUUGUUGUUUUGGUAAUAUUUGUAGCAUAUUAAAACCUAUGUAUUUUUCUUUCUUUAUCUUUGUAAUUUUUUUUACUUUUUUAUUUAAAAUAUGAUUAUUUUUUUGGUGUUCUUUGUUUUGUGUAUUGUUUGUAGAUAAAAUCUUCAAAUCAACACACUAUUAAGGUAUGCAUUUUUUAUUCCUAAAUUUAUUUUGAAUUUAUGUAGUGUUUUUUAGUUUUGUGUUUAGGAUGUUUUGUGCAGUGUUCUUGGUUUUUUUUUAUUAUUAUUAAUUUAUGAUAUUAUUGUUUGUAUUGCCAUAAAUGUUAUUGUUGAAUUUAUGUUUAAAAUGUUAAUUGAAAUAUAGAAUUAAAUUUAAUUAGUUUAUUUUAAUUUUAGGAUAUUAUUGUUUGUUUUGCAAUAAUUGUUAUUGUUGAAUUUAUGUUUUAAAUGUUAAUUAAAAUAUAUAAUUAAAUUAAAUUAGUUAUCUUAAUUUUAGGAUAUUAUUGUUUGUUUUGCAAUAAUUGUUAUUGUUGAAUUUAUGUUUAAAAUGUUAAUUGAAUAAAAACUAACUUAUUGUUUCGUAUAUUAUUGUUUUCUUGAGGGAGAGAUAUAGGGACGAUCCUUCGACCCAUCCGGAUUUUGAUCCGGAUUUAUGGAUGGAGGUCAGAUUGUCUGAUUGACCUGAUAAAAAAUCGGGUCUACGGCCUCUCCAACACAACGACCGAAAACUUGUGGUCGGCCCGUAGUGUCUCAACCGUUGGGAGCUCUCCAUCAGUAUCAAGCACCCAGUCAGAGGAGUUCAUAACCUUGAAACAACAAUAUCAACGCCUCUCGACGGGUUAUGAUCAGCUUUGUCAAAUGGUUAUGGAGAUUAGAUCAAAGAUGGGUGAUGAUCCAUGUGCAACCAACCUAUGGAUAUUGUUGGUCGUACGGUCCCGGUAACAACCAGCAUCCUCCUCCUCCUCCAGCUCCGCCGCUAUUUUAGUUUAUUUUUGUUUUUAAAAACAUUAAAUUUGUAAUGAAUAUUUGGAUGAAUAUUAUUUAACAUUAUUUUUAUAUUUUUAAUGUUUAAAACAAAUUUAUUUGGUUAUUAAGUUUUUUUCCUGUUAAUAAAUAAUUAUUUUUUUGUAUUUUAAAUAAAUAUCGACGGAUUUUCAAAUGGAAACAUGCCGUCGGUAUUUUAUCCGAGAAUUGGAAAAAAACUACCAUCAAUGCCACAAUUGUCGACGGAUAUAUUCCAUCGGUAAUGUACAUUACCAUUGCCGACGGAUAUAUUCCGUCGGUAUUUGACAGGGAGUUAUGAAUAUUUACCGCUCAUGCCACAGUCACCGACGGAUAUUCAAUCGGUAAAUACCGUUGGAAACAUAGACGGACUUAUUCCGUGGGUAAAAUUCUCGUGGGUAAUUUUUUUUUUUAACGCGCUUCGCCGUCUGUAAAACCGUCGAUGUUUGGUUUUUUUAUUACCGACAGAAUUGACGACGGAAUGGAAAAUUACCAACGAUCAAAAUUCUGACGGACAGAUUCUGUCGGUGAGACCGUCGGUAAUAUUUUUACCGACGGUUCUUAUGCCUCACACUGAUAGACCUAAUCCGUUGGUAAAACUGUUUAGUGGUGUAAUGAUAUCAAUGACUCAUUUAUUUUGGUUCAUUGUUGCCAAAUAUUUUUUUAAUGUUUAUCUGUUAAAUUAUCUAUAGUUUAAAUCAAAUUAUUAUGCUACUUGAUUUUAUUGAAUCCUAUCACAUUGAUGACUCAAGGAUUAGAUAUUUCUUACUUUUUUAUAUAAAUAAUAUUGUCAUCCAAGCUUUCAUUUUGUUUUUUUGUGUGCUCAAAAAUUUUUUGACCGCACAUAACGUAACACAUGUUAAUAAUUUAAUGAUAUACUAAUAUUUCUUCAUUAAUAAAAUAUGUUCUAUCAGCUUUGUAAGAAGAAAAAAAAAUAUCACCCUCGUUUCUUGCGACAAAAAAAAAUGACAUCAACACGUUCCGGCAACUGCCACCGCUUCAUCCGUAUUUGUUUGCAUCCGAUCGCCUGAUCUCUCUUAAAUUUUAUAUGAUCCGAUCCCCCUUUCUCUACGAAAACGGAAAAACUCUCCUCUUAUGCUGAUAUGAUAAAACUUAUGGUUCUUUACCAACAAACCCCUACUUUUUCUGAAGUUAUCUACUCCUCCUAACAAAAAAUGAAAAACAAUCUAGGAUUUAUUUAGGUGUUUGGUAUAGAUUUUUUUUCAAAAUGUUUUUAAUUUAAAAAUUUAUCUUUAAAAAUUUAUUUUUGAUAAAAACACAUCAAAACGAUCUAAAAAGACAAAUAAAUUUAAAACUAAAAAAAUAAAAAAUAUAUGAUUGGAUCACAAUAUCAAAUACCAUCCUAAUCUCUUAUAAUCAAAUCUCUAACCCCAUUUUGAUCUCAUCCAAAAUAUAGUUUUUUUAUUUUACUUAUAUAAUUUUACCUUUUGAAUUAUGAUCAUAAAUUAUUUAUAUUAGCUCUUAUCCUUUAUUCAUCAUUGUUGUUAAACAUUUUAUCCCUAAAGAUAAGGUAUUUAGGAUUACAAUUUUAUUGUUUAGUAUUAUUGUUAGAGUUGCUUUUUUUUUUCUUCACCCUCCGUAAUUGUUUUCCUAAGAUUUCAUUCUUACUUUCUUAAUUGAUUUUUGUUUUUUUUGCUUUGCAACAAUUUUAGAAGCAGUAUUUUUAUACCCCAUUUAAUUCUUUAACAUGUAAUUGAUUUGAAUUUGAGCUUGGUUAAGCCAUUGUCUAAGAUUUUACUAGUUGCAAACUUUGAAAAUUAAUCUAGCUUUAUGAGGUUUGCCUAAGAUUGUUUUAGUUUUUCAUCAUUUUUUUAAUCUAAUAUUUUUUUAUUUCAUCAUUCAAUAUUUAUUUAAUUGGAGAUUGAGCUCUGUUUUUUUUUUUUAUGCUUUCUAUGACCUUGGUUUUAUCAUUUUCUUUUAUUUAAUUUGGUUACCUUAGGUCUUUUUAUUUGUUAUUCUUUUUAUUAAUUUUAUUUUUUAAUUAAAUAUAAUUGAUUUAUUGAUUAUAGGUGAAUGUUCAUUUCAUUUUGUUUUAUUUGAUUUGUUUUUAUAAGAUGUUGCUCUAGCUAUCAUGCAACUUCUUCUUAUGUUGUAGUCCAGAAUUUCAUGGUUGGGUUUGAAUUGUCUAUAUAACUUUUUUUAGUAAUGACCGAUGUCCAAGAUAGAAUAAGAAUAAGUUACUAAUGAUUUUUUUUUCUUUUUUCUUUAGCACAAUACCAGUAAUUCAUUUGUUUUGGUUGAUUGUUGUCAAAUGUUUUUUAAAUAUUUUUCUGUUAUUAUUGUUUAUAAUUUAAAUCAUAUUAUUAAAUUACUUAAUUUUAUUGAAUCAAAUCAAAUUAAUAAUUCAAGUAUUAGAUAUUUCUUAAUUUUUUAUAAAUAAUAUUGUCACCCAAGCUUCUUUUUGUUUGUGCGCUCAAAUUUUUUUUGACCGCACGUAACUCAGGUUAAUAAUUUAGUGAUAUACUAAUAUUUCUUUAUUAAUAAAAUAUGUUCUAUUAGCUUUGUAAAAAGAAAAAAAAAUCUCACCCUCGUUUCUUGCGACAAAAAAAAUAAUUAUAUGAUCCCCCUUUCUCUACGAAAACGGAAAAACUCUCCUCUUAUGCUGAUAUGAUAGUACUUUGGUGCACAUAUACGCACCCGCCUCUUAGAAAACCAAGAAAAAUAAUAUCACCACACACUCUACAACUCUCAACACUCCAUUCUUCUUCAUUUGCCCAUGACUGUUUUCAAAUUAUUUUAUUUUAUUUUUAAAAUAAAAUAAAUUAUAUUUUAGAUCAUUUUGAUGUAUUAAAAAUAUUUUUUAAAAAAAUAAAAAAAUUAUUUUAAUACAUUUUUAAAAAAAAAACAUUUUAAAAAACACCGUUACCACAAUCUAUCAAAUCUUAUGGCAACCACAUAAACAUCUUCAAACACUAGUAUCCUGCAUUUCAACCCGAGGUUAUUAAAGUUGAAAUUGGGGCUGAGUUAAACUUAGCGCCUGCUACUAAAUCAUCCACUGAGGCUUUGGAGGUUAUUAAAGUUGAAGAAGGCUAUGCUAAGCAGCCGUGUGCAGUUUGCUUCGAGGAACUUUUGAUUGGUAGUGAAGCAAUUCUGCUGCCUUGUUCCCAUGUUUAUCAUUGUGCAUGGGUGCAUUCGUAAAUGGUUUAAAAUGAUUAAUUGAUUCAUGAAUGGUUAAUUUUGUUCCCAUGUUUUUCCUGAACGAUUAGGGUUUGUAAUCUCUUAUAAGUUUUAGAAUUUAUUAGUUCAAGAAUGAGAGAUCUUGAAGUUCAAUCUGAUUUGAUUGAGCUUAUGAUCAUUGAUAUCAUUAUGAGUCCAAACUCCAAACUGAAUUGGAUUUUUUAUAUGCAUAAUUUUGUCUAAAACUGAUAGCUAGCUUCAGCAUAUAUCAGUAUAUGCUCGGCUUGUAUAAUAAUUGUUUCCUCUUAUGUUUUAUUGCCAAUGAAUCUCUAUCCGAUGUGGAAAAACGGCUUGAGUUCCUACACUUUCCUCCGCCUUUUCUCUAUCAAAUUGUCUUCUGGCUGGGAGGACUGCCUGUGAGGGACAAAUAGUGUGCUUCGCAAAGAAAACGUCUAAUGGUUUUGGAGGCCAUAGUCACACCUAGUUGAGAAACAGCUAGAUUUGCUUCUGAUUUAUUAACACUUAUGCAUAAAGCAAACAAUCAUGCUGUGUCUAUGAAUCGCUAGUGCUAUCUAUAAACUAAGUCAUCAAGUCUAACGGUGCUUUUAUAUGUAUUCUUCUUCCAUCGGUCGGACAGAGAAUAGCUUAUCUAGUUUUCCAAAAGAAAUGGCAUAUACCUCAUUUAUUUGCUCUUAAAAAGAUGGUAAAAUCCUUUAAAGAGUGUGAUGAACAAGAAAGCACACAGAAUCCCUGAAGGAACAUUAUUUUGAUCUAAAACAAGACACUGACACAUUUAGCUUCAUUUGUUAAGGCGAUAUGUAGGAAUAGCUAGUAGAUGCUUGGACCUGCAGAGUACGAGACCAAACUCUUCUGUCAUGUCCACUUCAGAUGGCAAUAUUCCAUUUGGAAGUUCCCAAUCAAAGCAAUGCAGCAGCUGCGCAACCACCAGCCGCACCACAGUCAGCCCUAAUUGCAUUCCAGGGCAGCUUCUGCGGCCAGUGCCAAAUGGAAUAAGCUGGAAGUCUCGGCCACGAACAUCUAUGUCACUGCCAACAAACCUCUCCGGGUAAACUUUUCUGCAUCGGUCCAAGCUUUUGGGUCUCGACCAAUGGCCCAUACAUUGAUUAUAACAUGUGAUUUCUUCGGUAUGUGGAAGCCAUUCACAACGCAGUCCUCCGUGGCCUCAUGAGGGAUCAUCAAAGGACCCGCUGGAUGGAGCCGCAAGGUUUCCUUCACAACCAUGUCUAGGUACUCCAACCUCUCCAAGUCUGAUUCCUCUACCAUCCUUUGCUUUCCCACUACUUCUUCUAGUUCUUUUUGCAGUUUCUUCAUAACCCGAGGAUUUUUUAUCAGUUCUGAGAAUGCCCAGUCAAUCACAGUUGCUGAAGUGUCCACUGAACCCACAAGCAUGUCCUGCAAAAUGUCAUGUGCAGGAGCAUAAAGAUAUUUAGAUUAGUAAUGGGCUACCAUUAUCGUGCAGUUAAUUUAACUCUUUCAUCAAGAUUAAAAGAUAAAAUGCUCAUUUACCACCAUUAUGGCUUUCAUACAGCCUUGAUCAACGAGGUACUCGUUUUCUUCGGAUUUCAUGAAACUUAGCAUGACGUCAACAAAGUCCUUGUUUUUGCCCUUCUCCUGGUAUUGUACAUGCUCGUCAAUAAUCUUGUCAAGAAAGACAUCUAACACUUUGGAAAUAGCCUUCAUGCGUUUUGUCAGUCUAAAGAGAUCAAGAGCUGCGAUUUGAGGAAUGUAAUCUCCCAAGUGUGGAGCUCCUGAUAAAUGCAUGACCUCUUGCAUCACAGAUUUGAAUCCCCUCUCAUCAAGAUCCUCAUCUAGAUAUUUCUUCCCAAACACCAUUCUACAGGUCAUGUCAGCACUGAGGGACGAAACCUUGGCACUCAGAUCGACAGCAACACGUUCCUGUGCAGCUUCUUGAAUGUACUUAAUCAACAGAUCAAGCUCCUCCAUUCUCAUUGCCUUGAAAGAUGCAACUUUCAAGCUACUAAGCAACUCUACUGUGCACAUCUUACGCAUGCUACGCCAAUACGAACCGUAUUGUGCAAAAGCCAGGCCUUUUUGUCCAUAAGAGAUGUACCUUGCAGACUCGUGAGGUGGUCUGCCAGCAAAAACAAGGUCAUGGGUCUUGAGAAAUAACUCGGCAGCUUCAGGCGAAGAGACAACAAUGGCCGACACCAGGCCUAACCGCAAAUGCAUGAUGGGGCCAUAUCUUUGAGCAAGCUGAUGAAGAGCUCGAUGAGGAAACUUCCCUAACAAAUGAAGACUUCCAAAAAUUGGAAACCCUCUUGGACCAGGCGGUAGUCUCUUAUUCUCGGUGCUUAACCAUCGGAGCAGAAAGAUAAGUGCAACAAAGGCUAAAGAAGUCCAAAUCCAAGCCAUGGAUCUGUGAUUCUAUAACUUGCUGUUCUUGAAGUGUAUAAAAUCUCUGCCCUUUUAUUUACUUGGAUAUUGUGACUUGUAUAGGAAUCGAAGCCUGAAAGAAAAACAAACAGGAGAGGUAAGUUCGUUGUUGUUG
rnacentral:lncRNA from 1 species